AAAUUGAAGAGUUUGAUCAUGGCUCAGAUUGAACGCUGGCGGCAGGCCUAACACAUGCAAGUCGAACGGUAACAGGGAUCAGCUUGCUGAUUCGCUGACGAGUGGCGGACGGGUGAGUAAUGUCUGGGAAACUGCCUGAUGGAGGGGGAUAACUACUGGAAACGGUAGCUAAUACCGCAUAACGUCGCAAGACCAAAGAGGGGGACCUUCGGGCCUCUUGCCAUCGGAUGUGCCC
rnacentral:rRNA from 1 species